rnacentral:rRNA from 1 species
AUUGAACGCUGGCGGCAGGCCUAACACAUGCAAGUCGAGCGAGCGGCGGACGGGUGAGUAAUGUCUGGGAAACUGCCUGAUGGUGUGGGAUAACUACUGGAAACGGUAGCUAAUACCGCAUACCAUCAGAUGUGCCCAGAUGGGAUUAGAUGGUAGGUGUGGUAACGGCUCACCUAGGCGACGAUCCCUAGCUGGUCUGAGAGGAUGACCAGCCACCCUGGAACUGAGCGACGGUCCAGACUACUACGGGAGGCAGCAGUGGGGAAUAUUGCACAAUGGGAGCAAGCCUGAUGCAGCCAUGCCGCGUGUGUGAAGAAAGCCUUCGGGUUGUAAAGCAAUUUCAGCGGGGAAGCGUUACCCGCAGAAGAAGCACCGGCUAACUCCGUGCCAGCAGCCGCGGUAAUUC